rnacentral:misc_RNA from 1 species
AGGAGGUUCUCAAUUCGACUGUAUUUUUAACCGACUUCCAAAAAAGGAGGAGGUUCUCAAUUCGACUGUUUUUUUUUUUUAUGUAUGUUACAUCAGAACUUUUGACCGGGUAGACCGAUUUCGACAAAUUUUGUUUUAAUCGAAAGGUGAUAUGUGCCAAUUGGUCCCAUUUAAAUUUAUUUGAGAUCUAACAACUACUUUUCGAGUUAUAUCUAAUAAUGCGCUUUUACUUGACGCUUUUUUCGUCGACCUACGUUGUAUUAUACCGCAUAACUUUCUACUGGAUGUACCGAUUUUAAUAAUUCUUUUUUUGUUAGAAAGGGGAUAUCCCUAGUUUAGUACCAUGAUAAGGAAACCAAGAUCUGAUGAUGGGAUCCUAGAGAAAUCAAGGGAAACUCUCGAAAAUCCGUAAUAACUUUUUACUGGGUGUACCAAUUUUGAUAAAUUUUAAUUUAAUCGAAAGCUGAUGUUUAUCAUGUGGUCACAUAUAAAUUUUAUCGAG